rnacentral:rRNA from 1 species
GUGAGGAAUAUUGGUCAAUGGGCGGGAGCCUGAACCAGCCAAGUCGCGUGAAGGAAGAAGGAUCUAUGGUUCGUAAACUUCUUUUGCAGGGGAAUAAAGUGCUGGACGUGUCCUGUUUUGUAUGUACCCUGAGAAUAAGGAUCGGCUAACUCCGUGCCAGCAUCCGCGGUAAUACGGAGGAUCCGAGCUUUAUCCGGAUUUAUUGGGUUUAAAUGGUGCGUAGGUGGUGUGAUAAGUCAGCGGUGAAAGUUUGCAGCUUAACUGUAAAAAUGCCGUUGAAACUGACGGACUUGAGUGUAAAUGAGGUAGGCGGAAUGCGUGGUGUAGCGGUGAAAUGCAUAGAUAUCACGCAGAACUCCGAUGGCGAAGGCAGCUUACUAAGCUACAACUGACACUGAAGCACGAAAGCGUGGGGAUCAAACAGGAUUAGAUACCCUAGUAGUCC